rnacentral:lncRNA from 1 species
UUCAUGUUCCUUGUUCUUCAUCCAAUUUUUGCAAAUUUCGUUUCUUUCCGGUACAAAUCAUGGACUUAUUUAUUCCAAUACCCCCCUCAAGUUAGAGGGGGUAGAAGACACACCCCACUUGCCAAGGAUUAGCGUGUGAGCAGGCCCUGAUACGGGUUUGGUGAAUAAAUCAGCAAGUUGCAAUUUUGAGGGAACAAACGUCAGAGAAAUUAGGCUGGAGAGAAAUUGUUGCCGUAAAAAGUGGCAAUCAAGCUCAACGUGCUUAGUCCGUUCGUGGAACACGGGAUUGCGGGCGAUAUGGAUGGCAGCCUGACUAUCGGAGAAAAUAGGAACAAGGAUCGGAGGAGGAACUGAGAGAUAUGUGCAAACAAGUCGACUAGGUUAGUUCUGCAACCAAUCGUCGCAUGGAGCGAUACUCCACUUCUGCAGGAGAAAGAGAAAAUAGAGGCCUGUUUCUUGGAUUUCUAAGACACAAGAGAACUGCCUAAACUGAUAAAGAAGCCACUAAGAGAGCAUCGAGUAUCCCUAAAAGAUGCCCAGUCGGCGUCACUGAAAGCCAAGAGAUCCAAAGAGGGAUGAGCAUUAAGAAACAGACCCUGGCCAGAGAUGGAUGAGAUAUAACGAAGAACACGCAAGGCCGCAGUGAAAUGGCCAAGGCAAGGUCGUUGCAAGUACUGACUGAAGGUGAGUACAACAAAAGGAGAGAUCUGGACGCGUGUAGGUCAAAUAUUUGAGUUUACCCACUAAACGCCGAUAAAUAGAAGCAUCCGCUAAUGAAGGACCAGAAUCAACAACCAAUUUGGAAGAGGGAUUCAAGGGUGAAGAAGCUGAAGGAAGAUUUGAGCAAUCAAACUCUUGAAGCAAAUCAGAGGUAAAUUUCCCUUUGAUUCCCUUGUCUUCUCGCAAAAUUUCCAUUCCUAAAAAAUAAUGAAGUGGUCCAAGAUCCUUCAUUUUGAAUUCAGAAUGUAGAAAUAAUUUGAGAUAUGUAAAUUCUGCUAGAUUAUCCCCUGUAAGUAGUAUGUCAUCAACAUAGACUACAACAAUGGAGGUAAGAUAUCACGUUCUUUUGAAGAACAGAGAAUAGUUAUAAAGGGAAGCAGAAAAACCUUUGAAACUGAGUGCCCCAGCAAGCCUGGCAUACCACUGCCUGGAGGCUUGUUUUAAACCAUAAAGAGACCUCAUAAGUCGACAAAAAUGGUUGGGACUUGGGGAAGGUAGACCAGCAUGAAACCUCAUAUAAACUUCUUCUUGUAAUUCCCCAUGUAAGAAAGCAUUGCUCACAUCAAAUUGAGAGAUAGACCAACCUUUCUUGACUGCGAUAUAAAGUAAACAUCCGAUUGUGGUCAUCUUAACAACUGGAGAGAAGGUUUCUGUGUAAUCAAUACCUUCUCUGUGAACAUCACCCCUUAUAACCAAUCUUGCUUUGAGUUUCAAUAGAACCAUCAACAUUGUGUUUGACCUUAUAGACCCAUUUACAUGGUAAAGCCUUUUUCCCAGCAGGUAGAAGUACCACAUCCCAUGUCAGGUUUUCUUCUAGAGCUUUGAGUUCUAAAUUCAUAGCUUGUACCCAACCUAGGUGAGAGCAGGCCUAGGAAUAAGAGGUAGGUUCUGUAAAAAAGGAUACUGAUUAAAUGAGGUGUUGAUUAGAGCUAGAAAGGGCAGAGAAAGCCAAGAGAGAAGGGGAACAUGCAGAGGUGAGGCAGGGAGUGGUGAAAUCACAAAGGUAGAUGUUGUUGCAAACAUAGUCUUUAAGAUAACUAGGAAGAGUACCUAAGUUGUCCCUAUUAGAUCUUCUAAGUGGAAGAGGAGGAGGAGGAGGUGUAAGUGAUUUUCUAGGAGUAGGAACAUGAUGAGUGUCUUGGGAAGAAAAGGAACCAGAGGAAAUAUCAGUGGGAAGGCAAUCUUAUGGUAUAAUGGAGGUAGGCUGUGGGUAAGCAUCUGAGGUGAAAGGAGGUAAAGGUAGGAUUAGGGCAUGGAGAGGGUUCAACUUGAUGCAUAUGGGAGAAAGGAAAAAUGUUCAAUGAAAUGAAUAUCCCUGGACACAAACAAUUUCCUGGUGGUGAAAUUCAAAACUUAUAUCCCUUUUGACUAGCAGGAUAAUCCAUAAAGACACAUGCUAUGGCCCUAGGAUCAAACUUUCAUCUGCUAUGGGGACAAGGUAGAAGCAUAACAAAGACAACCAAAGCUUCUUAAGAAAACAUAAGAAGGUGCUCUCCCAAACAGUAGAUGAUAGGGAGUAUGUCCUUUUAGAAUUCUAGAGGAAAAUCUGUUUAUGAGAAAUAUAGCUGUUAGGAUGCAUUCUCCCCAAUAGCAAAGAGGCACUUUAGAUUGAAAAAGUAGAGCCCUAGAAACUUCUAAUAAAUGUCUAUGUUUCCUAUCCUCAAUUUCAUUUUGUUGAGGGGUUCCCACACAAGAAGUCUGAUGUAAAAUACCUUGUGACAAGAAGAACAAUGAAAUGCUGCCUAAUUCUAGAGCAUUAUCUGACCUAAUAACCUUGACCUUAGAAUUGAAUUGCCUUUCCAUCAUUCUCAAAAAAUAUUUUAGAACUGAAAAUGCACUACCCUUAGUGCUUAGUAGAUAAGUCCAAGUAGCUCUACUAAAAUCAACCCCAAUAGUGAGAAAGUACUUGUAUCCAUUGUGAGUAGGAGCUCUAUAAGGACCCUAUGUGUCAAUAUGUAUCAAUUCAAAUGGUUUCUUUGUUUUAAUAUGACUAAUUGAAAAUGGUAAUCUAGACUGCCUUGCUAACGGGAAAACUUUAUAAUGACAACUAGAAUUAGAAACAAAUGAAAUGGAACUGAUAUAUUUCAUUGCAUUGAAAGGAAAAUGCCCCAAUCUUACAUGCCAAAAUUUUAAAGCAGAUCCUGAUUUUGCUGAAAUAGAAAAAGAAGCUGAAUCAGCAUUAGAAAAAGAAACAAGUAACAAUCUAUUAGAUGAAAUAGAAAACAGGGUCCAAGGCUUUGUGGCAUUAGACUUGACUAAGUAAAGUGCCUCCUUAGAUUCACCAAAAACUUGAGGUCUCUUCAUGAGAGGCCCAUGCAAAAUACAACCAACAGAAGUGAAAACCAAAAGACAUUUAAACCUUUGACAAAGUCUACAAACUGAGAGUAAGUUGUAUUUGAAGCUAGGAAUAUCCAAGAUAUUUUCCAGAACUAGGCCUGGAAAAAUAAAGACACUACCAGCAUGAGUAACCUUUACCGUAGAAGAAUCUGGUAACUUUACCAUAAGAGGAAAAAUUAGUGGUACUAGAAAUAAGAACGUAUUGUGUGUUCACUUGCCACUGAAUCUAUAACGCAUGAAUGGGAGAGAUUAGAAUUGGAAACUGAAUAACAAGAAGGAGAAUUAGUGAAAAAAAUUCCAGGAACUGAAUUUUCAUUAACUUCCUGAGAAGUUCCAUGUCUUGUUUGUAGUUGAUUCAGAAGAUUAACCAACUUGCUGAACUGAUCAGAUGAGACUUUUUUAGAAAAUUGAGGUUCCUCCAUCAUGUUAUCAUGAAUUUCCUUUUUUAUCUUCUACCACAGUGGUUGAAUUUCGUUUUGGGGAACUUUGCAGUCUUUUGUUCUUAGUAAAUUUGAAAUCAGCAGGGAAUCCCACAAGUAUGUAACAGUUUUCAAUUGUAUGAUUAGUCAUCUUACAGUAGGAUCACAUAUGUUUAUUCCUCUUUCCUUUGUAUGCAAAAUUUCCUUUACAUGCAAUAUUUCCAUUUCUUUGUGGAGGUGGUGCAGAGUUUAGGUAACCCUGAGAUCCUUGAUUCUUCACCAUGAAAGAGGAUGCAUCUGUUGGGAAUUGAGGGUUAACAUGAAUUUCCCUUUUAUUCUCAUCUUGCAUGAGAAGUGACUAUGCUUGAUUAACUAAAGGUAGGGGUUUGACCAUGGGUAUAUUUCUCCUAGCCAAUCCAUAAAUUUCAUUCAAACCCAUGAGGAACUAGAUUAGUCUCUCAUCUUCCUUAAAUUGGUGCAUUUUCUUCUUUCCUCCACAUUCACAAUUGCAUGAACACUGCAUAUAAGAAUGAAGAGUGUGUAAUUAAUCCCAUAAACAUUUCAUUCUAGUGAAAUAAGGGGCAAUGUAAGGAGUCCCUUGUACUAAAUCAGCAAGUUCCUUUUGCAGGUGGUAGAGCUUGGCACCAUUAGGCUGCCCAAACCUGUGCUCCAGAUCUGACUAAAGGUCCUUGUCAAUCUUUUAGUAGAGAACACUAUCAGCAAUAACCUUGGUGAGUGAGUUCAAAACCCAAGAGGUUACCAUGUGAUUGCAUCGACUCCAGGUUGAGUGAGUAGGAUCUGUGAGAGGUGACAUAGGGCAUGAUCCAUUAAUGAAGCACAAUUUGUUCUUAGCUGACAGUGAGAUGAGGAUGGAUCUGCUCCAACCAGCAUAGCCAUGACCAUCAAACGAAGUGUUCACCAGUAUCAUACCUUGUGCAUCAGAAUCAUGAAGGAAAAAGGGAUGAGAAGGAUCAAUGGAGUUUCCAUUUCUUGUUGCUGUUGAAGAAGAGAGGUGUGUGUGAGUGGAG